GAUCCUCCCUGCUGGAGCAGCUUUGAGGGUGGUCAUGCUGCUUGGCCACAAGAUUAGCAGCCAAUUUCUUGGCAUUGACUAGUGCUGUUGGCUUCAUUUGGUUAGUAUCAGCAAAGGAUUUCAGCUCAGGGUACAUGGGCUUGAAUCGAACCCAGCCCUUUCACUUGAAGGUAAUUUGUGGCUGUUCCUUGGGUCUGAGCAAAGAACGGGGCUUGAACUUCUCCUUCCCCAAAAGCAAGUGGCUGGCAGUGCUUAAUCUCUGUUUCAGCAUUUCUGUGCCCUUGGGAUCCAGGAGAUGCAGAUUCCCUUUGCAGUCCUGCUCCUGACCCGCAGUGUGACUGCAAGAAGUCAUUUCACAGCUGCCUGCCUUAGUUUCGCCAUGCAGGAUUCCUGUCUCUCACCCCUCUCUAGGGGAUGCUGAGCAUGAGGUUUAUCCAGGAACUAAAUUACCUGUAAAAGAGAUAAAAGAAAGGUUCCGGUUACAAAAUUA